AGUGAACGCUGGCGGUAUGCCUAACACAUGCAAGUCGAACGGCAGCACAGUAAGAGCUUGCUCUUAUGGGUGGCGAGUGGCGGACGGGUGAGGAAUACAUCGGAAUCUACUUUUUCGUGGGUGAUAACGUAGGGAAACUUACGCUAAUACCGCAUACGACCUACGGGUGAAAGCAGGGGAUCUUCGGACCUUGCGCGAUUGAAUGAGCCGAUGUCGGAUUAGCUAGUUGGCGGGGUAAAGGCCCACCAAGGCGACGAUCCGUAGCUGGUCUGAGAGGCUGAUCAGCCACACUGGAACUGAGACACGGUCCAGACUCCUACGGGAGGCAGCAGUGGGGAAUAUUGGACAAUGGGCGCAAGCCUGAUCCAGCCAUACCGCGUGGGUGAAGAAGGCCUUCGGGUUGUAAAGCCCUUUUGUUGGGAAAGAAAAGCAGCAGGUUAAUACCCCGCUGUUCUGACGGUACCCAAAGAAUAAGCACCGGCUAACUUCGUG
rnacentral:rRNA from 1 species